GAUGAACGCUGGCGGCGUGCCUAAUACAUGCAAGUCGAGCGAACAGACGAGGAGCUUGCUCCUCUGACGUUAGCGGCGGACGGGUGAGUAACACGUGGAUAACCUACCUAUAAGACUGGGAUAACUUCGGGAAACCGGAGCUAAUACCGGAUAACAUGUUGAACCGCAUGGUUCAACAGUGAAAGACGGUCUUGCUGUCACUUAUAGAUGGAUCCGCGCCGCAUUAGCUAGUUGGUAAGGUAACGGCUUACCAAGGCAACGAUGCGUAGCCGACCUGAGAGGGUGAUCGGCCACACUGGAACUGAGACACGGUCCAGACUCCUACGGGAGGCAGCAGUAGGGAAUCUUCCGCAAUGGGCGAAAGCCUGACGGAGCAACGCCGCGUGAGUGAAGAAGGUCUUCGGAUCGUAAAACUCUGUUAUUAGGGAAGAACAAAUGUGUAAGUAACUAUGCACGUCUUGACGGUACCUAAUCAGAAAGCCACGGCUGACUACGUG
rnacentral:rRNA from 1 species